AAAUAAGUUGAUGAUGAUCUUCUUCUGUAUGUAACAGUAAAAUAUUUUUUUGGUUGAUUGCCACGAGAUUAUUUUUCACCGUUAAAUGACAGAACAAUAGCGUGUUGUGUGUAACGUUUUUGACAUGCCUGAGUAAUUACGGAUGUUUUAGAAUAUACUACACGUGUAAGUAUUGUUGACAAUUCUACAGGUAGAUAUAUGUCUGACGCUGCACAGGUUACAGAUGGAGAGGAUUGUUUGGUUAUAGAGAUCCUGGAUUAAAAAUUGACAUGCUUAUUAUGCAAAAUGGAUUAUGUUAAGUCAGCGCUACAGAUACUUCUGCUUGGGUUUUUCUUCUUUGCCUUACUGUGGAUUUGUGUACACGCAGACAAAUUAUUACUAAUAUUUAAGAGUUUAUAGUACAGUCAUUUUGGUGGACCAAGAGUGUUCUAAAACAAUUUUCGUUAGCAAUGUAAACAUUACAAUUAAUAUCUUAAUAUGCAUAUGGAUAUAUCAUUGCAUCGAUACUGUCCAUCAUUUUAGAAUCUUUCUAGCUCUUGGAUACAUGUGUAUUGGCAGAUUCACAUGUGACUUAUUACAUUCAUGCCUACCGGUAUAUCAGAUGUUGUAUUUAAUAUGUCUAACAUGUAUGAAACGAAUGAAAACUUAGUUUAUUAAAUGUUUAUGUUUUU